rnacentral:lncRNA from 1 species
GAAACCUUCAGGCCUUUGAUAAAACACCAAACAAAUCCCAUUAAGCAAAGAUUUACUAAUCAGAACAGUAAUCGCACCUACCAAACUUACCAAAAACACAAACUGAGCACCGAAAUAGCGAUAUACGGAAGUUCAACAAUAGAUAGAAAAAUAGAACAAAAGCACCGAUGAGGAAAAAGGGGAAGAAAACGACAGAGAGCAAAAAGAAAACAAAUAACAUCAGAUUCUUUUUUUGGGAAUUUUGGAAGAGGGAGGAAUGUUUUGAAAAAAGAAAA